rnacentral:rRNA from 1 species
UACGGAGGAUGCAAGCGUUAUCCGGAAUGAUUGGGCGUAAAGGGUCCGCAGGUGGCAGUGUAAGUCUGCUGUCAAAGAAUGAGGCUUAACCUCAUCAAGGCAGUGGAAACUACACAGCUAGAGUACGGUCGGGGUAGAAGGAAUUCCUGGUGUAGCGGUGAAAUGCGUAGAGAUCAGGAAGAACACCGGUGGCGAAAGCGUUCUGCUAGACCUGUACUGACACUGAGGAACGAAAGCUAGGGGAGCGAAUGGG